rnacentral:rRNA from 1 species
UACGUAGGGGGCAAGCGUUGUCCGGAAUUAUUGGGCGUAAAGAGCGCGUAGGCGGUCCGAUAAGUCGGCUGUGAAAGUCAAGGGCUCAACCCUUGAAAGCCGGCCGAUACUGUCGGACUAGAGUCCGGAAGAGGCGAGUGGAAUUCCCGGUGUAGCGGUGAAAUGCGCAGAUAUCGGGAGGAACACCAAUGGCGAAGGCAGCUCGCUGGGACGGUACUGACGCUGAGACGCGAAAGCGUGGGGAGCGAACAGG